rnacentral:rRNA from 1 species
CCCUUAGAUGUUCUGGGCCGCACGCGCACUACACUGAUGAACGCAACGAGACCACCUGUACCGAAAGGCAUGGGUAAACUUGUGAAAGUUCAUCGUGAUGGGGAUAGAUUAUUGCAAUUAUUAAUCUUCAACGAGGAAUUCCUAGUAAGCGCGAGUCAUCAGCUCGCGUUGAUUACGUCCCUGCCCUUUGUACACACCGCCCGUCGCUCCUACCGAUUGAAUGGUCCGGUGAAAUCUUCGGAUUGCUGGAUAGGACUUCAUUGACCUAUCUGCGAGAAGUUGCUUGAACCUUAUCAUUUAGAGGAAGGAGAAGUCGUAACA